rnacentral:rRNA from 1 species
GACGAACGCUGGCGGCGUGCUUAACACAUGCAAGUCGUACGGUAAGGCCCUUUCGGGGGUACACGAGUGGCGAACGGGUGAGUAACACGUGAGUAACCUGCCCACAACUUUGGGAUAACGCUAGGAAACUGGUGCUAAUACUGGAUAUGUGCUCCUGCUGCACGGUGGGGGUUGGAAAGCUCCGGCGGUUGUGGAUGGACUCGCGGCCUAUCAGCUUGUUGGUGGGGUAGUGGCCUACCAAGGCGGCGACGGGUAGCCGGCCUGAGAGGGUGACCGGCCACAUUGGGACUGAGAUACGGCCCAGACUCCUACGGGAGGCAGCAGUGGGGAAUAUUGCACAAUGGGCGCAAGCCUGAUGCAGCAACGCCGCGUGCGGGAUGACGGCCUUCGGGUUGUAAACCGCUUUCAGCAGGGACGAAGCUUUUUGUGACGGUACCUGCAGAAGAAGCACCGGCUAACUACGUG